rnacentral:rRNA from 1 species
UACGGAGGAUCCAAGCGUUAUCCGGAUUUAUUGGGUUUAAAGGGUGCGUAGGUGGGUUAUUAAGUCAGUGGUGAAAGCCUGCAGCUUAACUGCAGAAUUGCCAUUGAUACUGAUAAUCUUGAGUACAGUUGAGGCGGGCGGAAUGUGUCAUGUAGCGGUGAAAUGCUUAGAUAUGACACAGAACACCGAUUGCGAAGGCAGCUCGCUAAACUGCAACUGACACUGAGGCACGAAAGCGUGGGGAGCAAACAGGG